CCUACGGGAGGCAGCAGUGAGGAAUAUUGGUCAAUGGACGGAAGUCUGAUGCAGCGACGCCGCGUGAGUGAAGAAGUAUCUCGGUACGUAAAGCUCUAUCAGCAGGGAAGAAAAUGACGGUACCUGACUAAGAAGCCCCGGCUAACUACGUGCCAGCAGCCGCGGUAAUACGUAGGGGGCAAGCGUUAUCCGGAUUUACUGGGUGUAAAGGGAGCGUAGACGGCAGCACAAGUCUGGAGUGAAAUCCCGGGGCUUAACCCCGGAACUGCUUUGGAAACUGUGCGGCGGGAGUGCAGGAGGGGUAAGCGGAAUUCCUAGUGUAGCGGUGAAAUGCGUAGAUAUUAGGAGGAACACCGGUGGCGAAGGCGGCUUACUGGACUGUAACUGACGUUGAGGCUCGAAAGCGUGGGGAGCAAACAGGAUUAGAUACCCCAGUAGUC
rnacentral:rRNA from 1 species